AUAUGGAGCUUGGCCUGUAUACCCAAGAGUUUCCACACUUCUUGCAUGACUUCGGCGGUGAAGUGGGUUCCUCGGUCAGAGUUGACCCUUAAAGGCAGUCCGAACCUUGAGAAGAUGUGGUUCAUCAAAAGGCAGGCUGUUGUUUCUGCUGUAUCGUUGGGAGCUGGGAGACACUCUACCCACUUUGUGAAUUCGCAAACCACGUUGAGGAAGUAUUUGUUACCCCUUGUUGACCGUGGUAGGGGUCCCACCCAAUCUAUUUGGAGGUCCGACCAUGGGAAGGUCAUUCCUUUCCGUUGCAGUGGUGCUCGGUGGUUUGGGUUUGCCGGUUGGAACUGGCAACACACCAGGCAUCCUUUUACGUACUCCGCCACGUCUUGCUGCAUGCCAGGCCAGUAUGCUACUUGCUUCAGCGUUU